GCUUUACAGAUUUGUUUACUUUUCAUUGAUGUUCAAUUCACAUGAGGUCCAAAUACCAAUCGAAAUCAUAGGAUAUAUAAAAUUAUAGGUUUCAUCAGGUUUGUAUGGGUUUCAUUGCUUUUCAAACAGUGAGUGUGCAGCAUCAAUAAUUCGUUCGUUAAAAACUAAAAAAGAAGACUUUUUAAAUAAAUUUUUCACUUUUUGGGAAGGUUUGACAACGUCUUUGUAAGGGAAAAAAGGAGAAGUGGUUAAAAAAAAAUAUAUAAAGUCGUCUGACCACCAUAUUAAAACAUAUAGAAUCUUGCCGGUAUUGAUUCGAACUGGGCAGAAGUGGAGUCUUGUCUUCAAAUGUCAGAUUAAAAAUUGUUUCUAUGCUGAUGUACUGGAGUUCGCGAUGGAACGUAUCUGGACUUCGAGAGACAAGAGUGGGUCCAGCGUUUUCGAGAUGCAUCAGGUAAUUUAUGGUGCUGGAAGAUUCUGGGCUGUGAUGUUCACGUCACUUUGCCUUGUUAUGAGGUGGAUUCCGUACCUUAGGUGUUUUGCUGGGGGAGGGGGAUGUUGAUUCAGUUAUUCGGCGUGUACGGAGUGCGGCAAUUACUUCAUACCGUGCAGUUUCCCUUGCUGUUGUCGUGUAAUUCACUUUUCUUUUCGCAUUUUGCUAUUCGGAUGAUUAAUUCUUAUACCGCCCCAGACUGAAGGGUUGUGUUGAGUGGUAACACGAUGACCGUAGUUGCGUUCAUACGGAGUUUUUCCACUGUAUCUCGAAAUUAAUGGUGGUGUGUUUAAUUUUUCUUCAGGGUUUGCUGUGGCAAAUUACUGUCGGCAUAUCGUCAUGGCGCCAUUAUGGGUAAGUCGGUUGUUGCUUGUCUAUAAAGAACAUUCAUCCCGAUCGCCACACGUCCAUCCUAUCAGUGGGAUGAGUUGUGCGAAGAUAACGAACGGGGAUAACAAAUAGCUGCGUAGGAAGUAACCGAGGUUGUAUCAUGUCUAUGGGUUGUGCCGUUUACGUUGGCGACAGUUUGACAUCGUUAAUAUUCCGAUAAUCUUCGUCUUCUAAUGUUUAUUUCUUGAUAGGAUCGAAUCGGUUGCAGAUCCAGCUUAUUCAUUGCAGACCACGAUUUAUUCAUUGGCGUACUGUUUAUAUUGUUUUGCAGAAAAGAAUAGAAAAUUGAAAUGGGAACAGGGGGACGACAAUGAUCCACCUCAAGUUUCCAGCAAUCGUCCGAACAA
rnacentral:misc_RNA from 1 species